AGAGCGAACGCUGGCGGCAGGCUUAACACAUGCAAGUCGAGCGGGCGUAGCAAUACGUCAGCGGCAGACGGGUGAGUAACGCGUGGGAACGUACCUUUUGGUUCGGAACAACCCAGGGAAACUUGGGCUAAUACCGGAUAAGCCCUUACGGGGAAAGAUUUAUCGCCGAAAGAUCGGCCCGCGUCUGAUUAGUUAGUUGGUGAGGUAAUGGCUCACCAAGGCGACGAUCAGUAGCUGGUCUGAGAGGAUGAUCAGCCACAUUGGGACUGAGACACGGCCCAAACUCCUACGGGAGGCAGCAGUGGGGAAUAUUGGACAAUGGGCGCAAGCCUGAUCCAGCCAUGCCGCGUGAGUGAUGAAGGCCCUAGGGUUGUAAAGCUCUUUUGUGCGGGAAGAUAAUGACGGUACCGCAAGAAUAAGCCCCGGCUAACUUCGCGCCAGCAGCCGC
rnacentral:rRNA from 1 species